GGUUUACGCAGGUGCAGGUAAAAGCUUCUAACUUAAUCCCUGAGAAGUUCAACUCUUCUCAUAAACCU
rnacentral:tRNA from 1 species